rnacentral:rRNA from 1 species
GAUGAACGCUGGCGGCGUGCCUAAUACAUGCAAGUCGAGCGAACAGACGAGGAGCUUGCUCCUCUGACGUUAGCGGCGGACGGGUGAGUAACACGUGGAUAACCUACCUAUAAGACUGGGAUAACUUCGGGAAACCGGAGCUAAUACCGGAUAAUAUAUUGAACCGCAUGGUUCAAUAGUUAAAGACGGUUUUGCUGUCACUUAUAGAUGGAUCCGCGCCGCAUUAGCUAGUUGGUAAGGUAACGGCUUACCAAGGCGACGAUGCGUAGCCGACCUGAGAGGGUGAUCGGCCACACUGGAACUGAGACACGGUCCAGACUCCUACGGGAGGCAGCAGUAGGGAAUAUUCCGCAAUGGGCGAAAGCCUGACGGAGCAACGCCGCGUGAGUGAUGAAGGUCUUCGGAUCGUAAAACUCUGUUAUUAGGGAAGAACAAAUGUGUAAGUAACUAUGCACGUCUUGACGGUACCUAAUCAGAAAGCCACGGCUAACUACGUG